AUUGAACGCUGGCGGCAGGCCUAACACAUGCAAGUCGAGCGGAUGAAGAGAGCUUGCUCUCUGAUUCAGCGGCGGACGGGUGAGUAAUGCCUAGGAAUCUGCCUGAUAGUGGGGGACAACAGUUGGAAACGACUGCUAAUACCGCAUACGUCCUGCGGGAGAAAGCAGGGGACCUUCGGGCCUUGCGCUAUCAGAUGAGCCUAGGUCGGAUUAGCUAGUUGGUGAGGUAAUGGCUCACCAAGGCGACGAUCCGUAACUGGUCUGAGAGGAUGAUCAGUCACACUGGAACUGAGACACGGUCCAGACUCCUACGGGAGGCAGCAGUGGGGAAUAUUGGACAAUGGGCGAAAGCCUGAUCCAGCCAUGCCGCGUGUGUGAAGAAGGUCUUCGGAUUGAAAAGCACUUUAAGUUGGGAGGAAGGGCAGUAAGUUAAUACCUUGCUGUUUUGACGUUACCGACAGAAUAAGCACCGGCUAACUUCGUGCCAGCCGCCGCCGUAACAC
rnacentral:rRNA from 1 species